GUGGGGAAUAUUGGACAAUGGGCGAAAGCCUGAUCCUGCCAUGCCGCGUGUGUGAAGAAGGUCUUCGGAUUGUAAAGCACUUUAAGUUGGGCGGAAGGGCAGUAAGUUAAUACCUUGCUGUUUUGACGUUACCAAAAGAAUAAGCACCGGCUAACUUCGUGCCAGCAGCCGCGGUAAUACGAAGGGUGCAAGCGUUAAUCGGAAUUACUGGGCGUAAAGCGCGCGUAGGUGGUUUUGUAAGUUGGAGGUGAAAUCCCCGGGCUCAACCUGGGAACUGCCUCCAAAACUGCAUGACUAGAGUACGGUAGAGGGUAGUGGAAUUUCCUGUGUAGCGGUGAAAUGCGUAGAUAUAGGAAGGAACACCAGUGGCGAAGGCGACUACCUGGACUGAUACUGACACUGAGGUGCGAAAGCGUGGUGAGCAAACAGGAUUAGAAACCCGUGUAGUCC
rnacentral:rRNA from 1 species